rnacentral:rRNA from 1 species
AAUAGAUACCCUGGUAGUCCACGCCGUAAACGAUGAGUGCUAAGUGUUAGAGGGUUUCCGCCCUUUAGUGCUGCAGCUAACGCAUUAAGCACUCCGCCUGGGGAGUACGGUCGCAAGACUGAAACUCAAAGGAAUUGACGGGGGCCCGCACAAGCGGUGGAGCAUGUGGUUUAAUUCGAAGCAACGCGAAGAACCUUACCAGGUCUUGACAUCCCACUGACCGGUAUAGAGAUAUACCUUUCCCUUCGGGGACAGUGGUGACAGGUGGUGCAUGGUUGUCGUCAGCUCGUGUCGUGAGAUGUUGGGUUAAGUCCCGCAACGAGCGCAACCCUUGAUCUUAGUUGCCAGCAUUUAGUUGGGCACUCUAAGGUGACUGCCGGUGACAAACCGGAGGAAGGUGGGGAUGACGUCAAAUCAUCAUGCCCCUUAUGACCUGAGCUACACACGUGCUACAAUGGAUGGUACAAAGGGCUGCAAGACUGCGAAGUCAAGCCAAUCCCAUAAAACCAUUCUCAGUUCGGAUUGCG